rnacentral:rRNA from 1 species
GACGAACGCUGGCGGCGUGCUUAACACAUGCAAGUCGAACGGAAAGGCCCCUUUUGGGGUACUCGAGUGGCGAACGGGUGAGUAACACGUGAGUAACCUGCCCUUGACUUCGGGAUAACUUCAGGAAACUGGGGCUAAUACCGGAUAGGAAUCCUUGCUGCAUGGUGGGGGUUGGAAAGCUUCGGCGGUUUUGGAUGGACUCGCGGCUUAUCAGCUUGUUGGUGGGGUAGUGGCUUACCAAGGCUUUGACGGGUAGCCGGCCUGAGAGGGCGACCGGCCACAUUGGGACUGAGAUACGGCCCAGACUCCUACGGGAGGCAGCAGUGGGGAAUAUUGCACAAUGGGCGGAAGCCUGAUGCAGCAACGCCGCGGGCGGGAUGACGGCCUUCGGGUUGUAAACCGCUUUCAGCAGGGGCGAAGCUUGUGGUGACGGUACCUGCAGAAGAAGCACCGGCUAACUACGUG